rnacentral:lncRNA from 1 species
GAAUGCUUUCAUCUCUUGAAUCCUAUCCUGUUUAUUCUGUGUUACUUUUAGGAUUUGGUGCUUUUUUUUUUUUGUAUCACAUAAAAUAAAAUUUCAAACCCCACUCUUUUCAGAAAGCUUCAAGUGCAUGUGUACUUGGCUUGCUAUAUUAGUUAUGUGCCUGCAUUUGUAUGUGACAUGUAUAUGUAACAUGUAGAGUUUUUGAUAUUUAGCUGAAGAAAGUUCUCAGAGCUGUUUCCUUUUUAAAACACAUUUUCAUAUUAAAAUUGAGAGCAGUAUUACAAACAUGCUGAUUAUUUUUAAACAGGUACCGAUUAAGGAACAAAAAGAUGAGCGCGACUGUAAGAACAUUUCCUCUUCUGAAUAAAGUUGGUGUAAACAGCACUGUCACAACCACAGCCGGAAAUGUCAUUUCUGUCAUAGGAAGUACUGAAACAACUGGGAAAAUUGUUGCAAGUACAAAUGGAAUUUCAAAUACAGAAAGCAGUGUUUCUCAGCUAAUCCCACGAGGCACUGACAGUGCAGUAAGGACUUUGGAGACUGUGAAGAAAGUCGGGAAGGUUGGCACUAAUGCUCAGAAUGCUGGGCCCUCUGCAGAGUCCGUGUCUGAAAAGUAGGUAUGGGGUGAAAAUGAUGGAGUUCCUUAUCCCUUUUAGAAAUGACCUUCUUUUUUCAUUCUGAGAUACCGUAGUAAAUUGAAAUUUUUAUGCAAUUAUUCAUGUAAUAGAAGAAAACACUAAAUACCACAAAAUUUGAGUUCUAAUCCUCACAAGGCAGCCAACUAGUUCUAUAAACUUGAAAGCUCCUACUCUUGAGUUUUGUUUUUUCAAAUAUAUUAAGUUUGGAUCAGAAUUAGGCUUUCCAUAAGUUAUUUUCUAGCGUUUCAGUAUUAAUUCCAUAGAGACGUUAAAAAGGAACUAAGUAGAAACCUAAACAGGUGAGAAGUUUGAAUGUCUAGCCCCAUUUUAGUCAGCUUCUAUGGCUUUCUCUGUCGUGGUGUGUGUGUGUGUGUGUGUGUGUGUGUGUGUGUGUGUGUGUGUGUCUAUGGGGCUCUUUGGGCUCAAAUUGUGGCUCGGUUUUUUUCUACUAUUUGAUAUUGACCAGUCUACCUGCCUCCAAGUAUUAAAAAAUUACUUCAUAUAUUGAUUGUGAAACUUAAACGAGUUAAUAUCGUACUAAAUUUUGAACAGUGCCUGCAACAUCACAUUUCAUUUGACAAGGGAUUAUUUUUUUACCUUAUGAAAAGUGUUGGGACUUUCAAAUUGGAAGUUACUCCCAGUUUUGAAAUACCAUAUUUUAGAAAUCUCAAAUUUAGAAGUUUAAAUUUAAAAAUUGAAGGUAAAAGCAUUUUCAAAUUUCAUUGUCUUUGAGUAAGUUUGUCAGUAUAUGCCUACUGGGGAUAAAAGCAUCAUGCUUGGCACACAGCAAACUUUAAAUGACUUAAUGUUGGAGACUGUAUAAAAUAAAUAUGAUAUUUUCAACUUGAAUAGUUAAGUUAGAAAAAUUUUUAUUAAAAGUAUGAUCUUCACUGGGAGGUAUUUGAGAAAAAAAGAGGUUAAAAAUAUUGACUACUUCACAAGUGUUACUGAGUACCCAUUUGCAGACAUUGUCACUGGUACUGUUAGAUAUAGCUGAAAAAUAGAUAUCUCUGCCUUUAAAGGACUCAUAUUGCUAUUGGAUGUGGACAUAGCAUUUAUACAAAUGAAGCACAUUAGUUAAAAGAUAAGGGCAAUUGUAUGUUUCUAGUGUAGUAUAGAAGUUUUGAGGGCAAAAUCUAGUAUGGUUUAAGCUUGUUUGUGAAUAUGUGAAGUAUUAGGGCUAGCCUUAGAGAACUGACUGUUUUGGUAGCUAGAUAGCUCAAUGCUAGAGUGCUUGCUUAGUACUCACAAUGUCCUGGGUUUGAUCCCUAAUAUCAGAUACACAUUUAUAUAUCUGAAGGGUUAUGUUACUGACUGAUACAUAAGGUUACAAAUACUGAUUGUUACUAGGUUAUGGAAACCUUAUGAGGAUAUUAAUAGUAAAGAUUUGGCGAGGUAAGAAUAUGAAACCUUAUACAAUGGGUUAUGUUAUUCAGCCAUAAAAACAAUCACCAGGCCUAGUGGGGCAUGUUUGUAGUCUCAGGCACUUGGUAGGUUGAGUUAAUAGGAUCCUAUGAUCAAGCUUAGCCUUAGGCUCACAGUAAAUUCAAGGCCAGCUUAGACAACUUUGUAAGACAUUGUCACACACACCCAACUCC